rfam:Aspergillus nomius NRRL 13137 contig00090, whole genome shotgun sequence.
GCUCCCAUAGCUCAGUUGGUCUAGAGCAUCAAGCUUAUAUGACCAUUGUACUUUGUACUAGGUUGUAUGCGUCUCUUGGAGGUCGACGGUUCGAUCCCGCCUGGGAGCA